rnacentral:rRNA from 1 species
UACGUAGGGUGCAAGCGUUAAUCGGAAUUACUGGGCGUAAAGGGUGCGUAGGUGGCAGGGUAAGUCGGAUGUGAAAUCCCGGGGCUCAACCUCGGAACUGCAUUCGAUACUGCUUUGCUUGAGUACUGGAGAGGAGAUUGGAAUUACGGUGUAGCAGUGAAAUGCGUAGAUAUCGUAAGGAAGACCAGUGGCGAAGGCGGAUCUCUGGACAGUUACUGACACUGAGGCACGAAGGCCAGGGGAGCAAACGGG